UUGAAUAUAAAGAAAAGACGAACAGCUCAGUAACUCUUAUUUUAUUUGAUGUAUUAGGAUUAUAACUAUGUUAAAUUAUAGAUAACAAUAAUACAAUAAGAAUAAGAUCUAUCAGUUAGUUGUUAAGGUAAUGGCUUAACAAGACUAUGACGGAUAACGGUAUUACUUUGUAAUAUUCCGGAGAAGGAGCCUGAGAGAUUGCUACUAAGUCUAAGGAUUGCAGCAGGGGCGAAACUUGACCUAUGAUAUGAUAUUGAGGCAGUUAUGAGUAGUAUUUUUAAUUAUUGUAGUAUUGUAAGUAUAUACUACAAGAUAAAUCGGAGGGCAAAUCGAGUGCCAGCAGCCGCGGUAAUACUUGUUCCGAUAGUGUGUAUGAUGAUUGAUGCAGUUAAAAAGUCUGUAGUUUAUGAUUAAUAAGCAUUGUGAGGUAUAUUGUAUGGUUAGGAGAGAGAUGAAAUGUGAUAACCCUAACUGGAUGAACAGAAGCGAAAGCUAUAUACUUAAAUGUAUUAUUAGAACAAGGACGUAAGCUAGAGGAUCGAAGAUGAUUAGAUACCAUUGUAGUUCUAGCAGUAAACUAUGUUAAAUCAUAGAUACAUUUUAAUAUGUAUUUAUGUAAAGAAAUUAAGAUUAUAUUGACUCUGGGGAUAGUAUGAUCGCAAGAUUGAAAAUUAAAGAAAUUGACGGAAGAAUACCACAAGGAGUGGAUUGUGC
rnacentral:rRNA from 1 species